AUUGAACGCUGGCGGCAGGCCUAACACAUGCAAGUCGAGCGAGCGGCGGACGGGUGAAUAAUGUAUGGGAAUCUGCCUGGGGGGGGGGGAUAACUACUGGAAACGGUAGCUAAUACCGCAUACCAUCAGAUGAACACAUAUGGGAUUAGCUUGUGGGUGGGGUAACGGCUCACCUAGGCGACGAUCCCUAGCUGGUCUGAGAGGAUGAACAGCCACACUGGAACUGAGACACGGCCCAGACUCCUACGGGAGGCAGCAGUGGGGAAUAUUGCACAAUGGGCGCAAGCCUGAUACAGCCAUGCCGCGUGUAUGAAGAAGGCCUUCGGGUUGUAAAGUACUUUCAGUGGGGAGGCGUUACCGGCAGAAGAAGCACCGGCUAACUCCGUGCCAGCAGCCGCGGUAAUAC
rnacentral:rRNA from 1 species